rnacentral:rRNA from 1 species
AGCAGCCGCGGUAAUUCCAGCUCCAAUAGCGUAUAUUAAAGUUGUUGCAGUUAAAAAGCUCGUAGUUGAAUUUCGGGAUCAAUAUAUCGGUCGUGCCUUGGUACGUACUGGUAUCAUUGGUUUCUCCUUUCUGACGAACCAUGAUGUCAUUAAUUUGGUGUUAUGGGAAGUUAGGACUGUUACUUUGAAAAAAAUUAGAGUGUUUAAGGCAGGCUUUGGCUUGAAUACAUUAGCAUGGAAUAAUGAAAUAGGACGUUCGAACCUAUUUUGUUGGUUUCUAGGAUCAACGUAAUGAUUAAUAGGGAUAGUUGGGGGCAUUAGUAUUCAAUUGUCAGAGGUGAAAUUCUUGGAUUUAUUGAAGGCUAACUACUGCGAAAGCAUUUGCCAAGGACGUUUUCAUUAAUCAAGAACGAAAGUUAGGGGGAUCGAAGACGAUCAGAUACCGUCGUAGUCUUAACCAUAAACUAUGCCGACUAGGGAUCGGAUGAUGUUAAUUUUUUAAUGACUCAGUUCGCGCCUU